CUAGCCAUGCGAGUCGUUGUAGUAAUACAAGGCAGACGGCUCAGUAACACGUAGUCAAUCUACCCUAUGGACGGGGAUAACCUCGGGAAACUGAGAAUAAUACCCGAUAGAUCAUAAUUCCUGGAAUGGUUUAUGAUUGAAAUGAUUUAUCGCUGUAGGAUGGGACUGCGGCCUAUCAGCUUGUUGGUGAGGUAAUGGCCCACCAAGGCUAUAACAGGUACGGGCUCUGAGAGGAGAAGCCCGGAGAUGGGUACUGAGACACGGACCCAGGCCCUAUGGGGCGCAGCAGGCGAGAAACCUUAGCAAUGUGCGAAAGCACGACUAGGUUAAUCCGAGUGAUUUCUGCUGAAGAAAUCUUUUGUCAGUUUUAAAACUACUAAUGAAUAAGGGGUGGGCAAGUCUGGUGUCAGCCGCCGCGGUAAUACCAGCACCUCGAGUGGUCAGGAGGUUUAUUGGGCCUAAAGCAUCCGUAGCCGGCUUUGCAAGUCUCCGGUUAAAUCCAACUGCUCAACAGAUGGGCUGCCGGAGAUACUACAAAGCUAGGGAGCGGGAGAGGUAGACGGUAUUCGGUGGGUAGGGGUAAAAUCCUCUGAUCCAUUGAGGACCACCAGUGGCGAAGGCGGUCUACCAGAACGCGUUCGACGGUGAGGGAUGAAAGCUGGGGGAGCAAACCGGAUUAGAUACCCGGGUAGUCCCAGCUGUAAACGAUGCAAACUCGGUGAUACAUUGGCUUAUGGCCAAUGCAGUGCCGCAGGGAAGCCGUUAAGUUUGCCGCCUGGGAAGUACGGUCGCAAGACUGAAACUUAAAGGAAUUGGCGGGGGAGCACCACAAGGGGUGAAGCCUGCGGUUCAAUUGGAUUCAAC
rnacentral:rRNA from 1 species